rnacentral:lncRNA from 1 species
CAAACUUCAUGGUAUUUUUCCAUGCAGUACAAGGUAAAAUAUUUUUCUCCAUAACAUCCAUUCAUCUUUUGAUAGAAGACUCAAAAGCUCAUUAAAGGUCAUUUGCCAUAAUUUAAGCAGAUUCUUAAUUUUCUUUCUUUUGAUUUGAGACAAUGCAAAUAUAAGUUUAAAGUCUGAGUCAGCUUUUUCCGACCAUAUCUUUAAAAUGAAUAUCUUGAAAAGAACCUCAAGGACCUAUCAAUAUGUU